CGUACGCAAUCUACCCAGAACUGGUGAAUAGCCCUCCGAAAGGAGGAUUAAUACACCGUAACAUAAUGAAGUGGCAUCACUUUAUUAUUAUAGCUCCGGCGGUUUUGGAUGAGCGUGCGGCUGAUUAGAUAGUUGGCGGGGUAACGGCCCACCAAGUCUGCGAUCAGUAACUGGUGUGAGAGCACGACCAGUCACACGGGCACUGAGACACGGGCCCG
rnacentral:rRNA from 1 species